UGGGGAAUCUUGCGCAAUGCGCGAAAGCGUGACGCAGCAACGCCGCGUGGGGGAAGAAGGCCUUCGGGUUGUAAACCCCUUUCAGUUGGGACGAAGCUCCGCCGGUGAAUAGCCGGCUGGAGUGACGGUACCUUCAGAAGAAGCCCCGGCUAACUACGUGCCAGCAGCCGCGGUAAUACGUAGGGGGCAAGCGUUGUCCGGAAUCAUUGGGCGUAAAGAGCGUGUAGGCGGCUCGGUAAGUCCGCUGUGAAAGUCCAGGGCUCAACCCUGGAAUGCCGGUGGAAACUGUCGAGCUAGAGUCCGGAAGAGGCGAGUGGAAUUCCUGGUGUAGCGGUGAAAUGCGCAGAUAUCAGGAGGAACACCAAUGGCGAAGGCAGCUCGCUGGGACGGUACUGACGCUGAGACGCGAAAGCGUGGGGAGCAAACA
rnacentral:rRNA from 1 species